GUCCUUUCCGGGACAUUCGAGAAAAUUGGAACAGCUUUGAAAAAAUUAGCAUAGCUUCUACACAAGAAUGACAUAUACAAAUUGAAAAAUAAUCUAAAAAAAAUUU